AACGAACGCUGGCGGCAUGCCUAACACAUGCAAGUCGAACGAGGCCUUCGGGUCUAGUGGCGCACGGGUGCGUAACGCGUGGGGACCUGCCCUUAGGUUCGGAAUAACUCCCCGAAAGGGGUGCUAAUACCGGAUAAUGUCUUCGGACCAAAGAUUUAUCGCCUUUGGAUGGGCCCGCGUUGGAUUAGCUAGUUGGUAGGGUAAAAGCCUACCAAGGCGACGAUCCAUAGCUGGUCUGAGAGGAUGAUCAGCCACACUGGGACUGAGACACGGCCCAGACUCCUACGGGAGGCAGCAGUGGGGAAUAUUGGACAAUGGGCGAAAGCCUGAUCCAGCAAUGCCGCGUGAGUGAUGAAGGCCUUAGGGUUGUAAAGCUCUUUUACCCGGGAUGAUAAUGACAGUACCGGGAGAAUAAGCUCCGGCUAACUCCGUG
rnacentral:rRNA from 1 species